rnacentral:rRNA from 1 species
GACGAACGCUGGCGGCGUGCUUAACACAUGCCAGUCGAACGGAAAGGCCCUGCUUUUGUGGGGUGCUCGAGUGGCGAACGGGUGAGUAACACGUGAGUAACCUGCCCUUGACUUUGGGAUAACUUCAGGAAACUGGGGCUAAUACCGGAUAGGAGCUCCUGCUGCAUGGUGGGGGUUGGAAAGUUUCGGCGGUUGGGGAUGGACUCGCGGCUUAUCAGCUUGUUGGUGGGGGAGUGGCUUACCAAGGCUUUGACGGGUAGCCGGCCUGAGAGGGUGACCGGCCACAUUGGGACUGAGAUACGGCCCAGACUCCUACGGGAGGCAGAAGUGGGGAAUAUUGCACAAUGGGCGGAAGCCUGAUGCAGCAACGCCGCGUGCGGGAUGACGGCCUUCGGGUUGUAAACCGCUUUCGCCUGUGACGAAGCGUGAGUGACGGUAAUGGGUAAAGAAGCACCGGCUAACUACGUG